rnacentral:misc_RNA from 1 species
GAUGAAGAACGUAGUGAAAUGCGAUACUUGGUGUGAAUUGCAGAAUCCCGUGAACCAUCGAGUCUUUGAACGCAAGUUGCGCCCGAAGCCAUUAGGCCGAGGGCACGCCUGCCUGGGCGUCACACGUCGUUGCCCCCCCAUCUACUCCUUCGGGAUUGCGGGGGGCGGAUGAUGGCCUCUCGUGCGCCUCGUCGCGCGGUUGGCCUAAAUGCCAAGUCCUCGGCGACGCACGCCACGACAAUCGGUGGUUGCGAGACCUCGGUUGCCUGUCGUGUGCGGUCGUCGCGCAUCGAGGGCUCGAAAAAAUUGCCGGGCUUCGGCUCGACUUUCAACGCGACCCCAGGUCAGGCGGGGUUACCCGCUGAAUUUAAGCAUAUCAAUAAGCGGAGGA